rnacentral:rRNA from 1 species
ACGCUGGCGGCGUGCCUAACACAUGCAAGUCGAACGGGGUAAUCCUUCGGGGUUACUUAGUGGCGAACGGGUGAGUAACGCGUGAGGAACCUGCCUCUCAGUGGGGGACAACAGUUGGAAACGACUGCUAAUACCGCAUAACAUUUCUGGACCGCAUGAUCCGGAAAUCAAAGCUUUAUGUGCUGAGAGAUGGCCUCGCGUCUGAUUAGCUGGUUGGCGGGGUAACGGCCCACCAAGGCGACGAUCAGUAGCCGGUCUGAGAGGAUGAACGGCCACAUUGGGACUGAGAUACGGCCCAGACUCCUACGGGAGGCAGCAGUGGGGAAUAUUGGGCAAUGGGCGCAAGCCUGACCCAGCAACGCCGCGUGAAGGAAGAAGGCUUUCGGGUUGUAAACUUCUUUUGUCGAGGAAGAGUAGAAGACUGUACUCGGCGAAUAAGCCACGGCUAACUACGUG